AGGCGUGCGGCGCCGGGGGGCUGGAGCUGGCCUCGCGCGCCUUUUCCUCUUUUGGGUCUGGGGGUCCACGUUGGCUUCCCCGGGCUUCUCUGCCUGUUAGACUUCUCUGUGCCCGCGAGGCCCGCGUCGCCCGCGUCGCCGACUCCACCGUAACGCAGGGAGCUUCCCCCGCCGGGCCAGCCACUCCCUCCUCCGGCGCCCCCGGCCGAGUUGGACCUUCGUCCCUUACCUUCGGCAGCCACGGCGGUCCUUUCCUGGUUAGGUUCUCAUCAGAACGUGUGACCCGGCGUGUGCUCGGAAAGUAAGGCCGCCACUUUUGCACGUCCCUCUCCCAACGUUUGGUGCCAGUGGCACAGCUCUUUAGUCAUGUUGGCUGCUAACCAGCUUCUCCACAUCAAGAGCAACUUUGGAAACCCCAAGCAUGUGAAGAGAAGCUGACCUAUACUUACUACAGUGAUAAUGACUAUGUGGUAGCGUAACCUGUCUUCGGGGUUUGGCUCGUUUUUCAGCUCUCAACCAUAGGACAUCCGAGGAGGAAGACCAGCAUUUCUCUGGGAAGACGCUUAACUUUCUUUUAAAUCUUCAAGGAUACCCGGAAUUGAUACAUCUGAGAAGGGGGCAAAGAAGCAGGCCGAAUAACAGUUUUAAAGGCACAGAUACUUGGAAAGGACAACUGGGGUGUAUGGCGGUAUGACUGAAGCAGAGUGUUUAGAGUAGAGAUCACUCAGUUGUUAAAGAUGUUACCCUUUUAUCCUGUUUUUUACAGUGUAGGUGAAGUUGAGCCUUUCAAGGCCCUGAUCAGGCGAUUCUGAUUCAUGCAAAUCUUUCACUUGCUCAUACCACUCACUGAGAACAGCGAGGUGUGGCGGAGCCUGUGCGCUCGCAGCCUGGCCGAGGAGGCUUUGGGCACGGACAUCCGCUGCAACCUGCCCAGCUACAAGGCCAAGG